CUAGACCUGCGAAUCCUCCAAA
rnacentral:siRNA from 1 species